rnacentral:rRNA from 1 species
GACGAACGCUGGCGGCGUGCUUAACACAUGCAAGUCGAACGGCAAGGCCCUUCGGGGUACACGAGUGGCGAACGGGUGAGUAACACGUGGGUGAUCUGCCCUGCACUUCGGGAUAAGCCUGGGAAACUGGGUCUAAUACCGGAUAGGACCACUGCCUGCAUGGGUGGUGGUGGAAAGCUUUUGCGGUGUGGGAUGGGCCCGCGGCCUAUCAGCUCGUUGGUGGGGUGAUGGCCUACCAAGGCGACGACGGGGAGCCGGCCUGAGAGGGUGACCGGCCACACUGGGACUGAGAUACGGCCCAGACUCCUACGGGAGGCAGCAGUGGGGAAUAUUGCACAAUGGGCGCAAGCCUGAUGCAGCGACGCCGCGUGAGGGAUGACGGCCUUCGGGUUGUAAACCUCUUUCAGCACCGACGAAGCGCAAGUGACGGUAGGUGCAGAAGAAGGACCGGCCAACUACGUGCCAGCAGCCGCGGUAA